ACCUCCUGAUGGCUCCUUAUAUAAACACUCUCUGCCUGCAGUCACCAUUACUCAACACGUUACACCCGUGGAAACAGCAGAAGCCAUAGAGAUGGCUGCCAGGAUGAUGAAGGUGUUUUACACCCCUUCGGUUCGAUAUGGUACAACAAAGACUGCUUCAGGUGUAACUGUUACAUUUCUGGAAUGAAAUGCUGCAAUCAAGUUCCAAAUUAUUCUGGUCUUCCCGAAUCCUGUAAAGUUGUGGUGACCAAGGACUGCACCCACAAGCUGGUGAACACGCAGGGGCCUGACAGCAACUGUGUCCCAAAGAGUGCUGUCAUGUAGGACGCCGCUCUUUUCUAAGAAAAUCUCCAGCUAACAUUUGGAAGGUUUUUUUACAUUUUUUCUCUAUUCUUCAUUUAUCAAGGCUUCUUCUUUGAUAGCGAAAGAAAGCGAAAGAAAGCAUGUCAAUCCAUAUCUCACAAAUUCAUUGUGUAUAUGAGUAUUUGCUGACUUAUCCAAAAAUAAAAACCGUUAUGCUCUGC